ACCUUCGGGCCUCUUGCCAUCAGAUGUGCCCAGAUGGGAUUAGCUUGUUGGUGAGGUAACGGCUCACCAAGGCGACGAUCCCUAGCUGGUCUGAGAGGAUGACCAGCCACACUGGAACUGAGACACGGUCCAGACUCCUACGGGAGGCAGCAGUGGGGAAUAUUGCACAAUGGGCGCAAGCCUGAUGCAGCCAUGCCGCGUGUAUGAAGAAGGCCUUCGGGUUGUAAAGUACUUUCAGCGGGGAGGAAGGUGUUGUGGUUAAUAACCGCAGCAAUUGACGUUACCCGCAGAAGAAGCACCGGCUAACUCCGUGCCAGCAGCCGCGGUAAUACGGAGGGUGCAAGCGUUAAUCGGAAUUACUGGGCGUAAAGCGCACGCAGGCGGUCUGUCAAGUCGGAUGUGAAAUCCCCGGGCUCAACCUGGGAACUGCAUUCGAAACUGGCAGGCUUGAGUCUUGUAGAGGGGGGUAGAAUUCCAGGUGUAGCGGUGAAAUGCGUAGAGAUCUGGAGGAAUACCGGUGGCGAAGGCGGCCCCCUGGACAAAGACUGACGCUCAGGUGCGAAAGCGUGGGGAGCAAACAGGAUUAGAUACCCUGGUAGUCCACGCCGUAAACGAUGUCUACUUGGAGGUUGUGCCCUUGAGGCGUGGCUUCCGGAGCUAACGCGUUAAGUAGACCGCCUGGGGAGUACGGCCGCAAGGUUAAAACUCAAAUGAAUUGACGGGGGCCCGCACAAGCGGUGGAGCAUGUGGUUUAAUUCGAUGCAACGCGAAGAACCUUACCUGGUCUUGACAUCCACAGAACUUUCCAGAGAUGGAUUGGUGCCUUCGGGAACUGUGAGACAGGUGCUGCAUGGCUGUCGUCAGCUCGUGUUGUGAAAUGUUGGGUUAAGUCCCGCAACGAGCGCAACCCUUAUCCUUUGUUGCCAGCGGUCCGGCCGGGAACUCAAAGGAGACUGCCAGUGAUAAACUGGAG
rnacentral:rRNA from 1 species